rnacentral:rRNA from 1 species
UACGAAGGGGGCUAGCGUUGCUCGGAAUCACUGGGCGUAAAGCGCACGUAGGCGGCUUUUUAAGUCAGAGGUGAAAUCCUGGAGCUCAACUCCAGAACUGCCUUUGAUACUGGAGAGCUUCGAGUCCGGGAGAGGUGAGUGGAACUGCGAGUGUAGAGGUGAAAUUCGUAGAUAUUCGCAAGAACACCAGUGGCGAAGGCGGCUCACUGGUCCGGUACUGACGCUGAGGUGCGAAAGCGUGGGGAGCAAACAGG